GACGAACGCUGGCGGCGUGCUUAACACAUGCAAGUCGAGCGGAAAGGCCCUGCUUUUGUGGGGUGCUCGAGUGGCGAACGGGUGAGUAACACGUGAGUAACCUGCCCUUGACUUUGGGAUAACUUCAGGAAACUGGGGCUAAUACCGGAUAGGAGCUCCUGCUGCAUGGUGGGGGUUGGAAAGUUUCGGCGGUAGGGGAUGGACUCGCGGCUUAUCAGCUUGUUGGUGGGGUAGUGGCUUACCAAGGCUUUGACGGGUAGCCGGCCUGAGAGGGUGACCGGCCACAUUGGGACUGAGAUACGGCCCAGACUCCUACGGGAGGCAGCAGUGGGGAAUAUUGCACAAUGGGCGGAAGCCUGAUGCAGCAACGCCGCGUGCGGGAUGACGGCCUUCGGGUUGUAAACCGCUUUCGCCUGUGACGAAGCGUGAGUGACGGUAAUGGGUAAAGAAGCACCGGCUAACUACGUG
rnacentral:rRNA from 1 species